GAAUGCAUGGGCUCGAUUCCAUGGUAGCGAGUAUGGAGUUAUACACAAUGUUUUGAUCUGACAGAGAAAGAAAUGAUAGCAUAAAAGCAGUAACAGAGAAAAGAUAUAUUCAUCUUUUGUUUCACAGAUCUAUUCAUGCAUGUCAACCACAAAUUACAUCACUGCGACUCAAAACUCUACGAGGUCGAUGCAGAGCCACGAUGUUUUCCGCACGUCGCCAUCUGGAUGUAACACAGUUCCAUACUUAUGCUAAUUAAUUAAAGCUCCUUGUGUUUGGCUGUUUCCAUAGGGCCAUACUGUUUACCUCAAGAGGGAGGAAAAUGGUCCCAAAACAGAGAAAAGUAACCCUCAGCACAUCAAAAUGAUCACAUCUCGUCCACUAGGUUGAUCAGACUACAGUCAAGACCAUGCUUAUGUUGUAACUGCAGAAUGCACACCCAGAUGGACUGUUUGUCACCAGAGAUUUCAACCAUGCGAAUCUCAGCAGACCGCUCAUCAGAUGCUCCAAACCAGUUGAAAACCUGGCCAGAAAAAGCCAUCUCUGCUCUUCAGGACUGUUUUGAGAGAACUGACUGGGACAUGUUUAGGAAGGCUUCAACCAAUAGUGACUGCACUAACUUAGAGGACCAUCAGUGACCAGCUACAUCAACAAACGCAUUGAUGAUGUUACUAUCUCCAAGACCAUCACCACUCGCCCCAACCAGAAGCUGUGGAUUAUUGCAGAGGUGCGUGCACUACUGAGGAUCCAAGAUGCUGCCUUCAGAGCAGGUGACAGAGCAGCCCUAAGAGCAGUGAGGGCCAAACUGUCUUGGGCCAUCAGAGCAGCAAAGCGCGCACAUGCCCAGAGAAUCCUCAGCUAUUUCCAGGACUGUGGCAACACAUGAUGUAUGUGGCAGGGCAUCCAGGCCAUCAUGAACUACAGGACACCACCACCUGCCUGGGACAAUGAUGCCUCCCUUCCAGAUGCGCUGAACAGCUUCUAUGCACAGUUUGAGGUGCAGAACAGCGUGGCAGUGAGGAAGACCAUCCCUCCUUCCAAUGACCAGGUGCUGUGUCUGAGCACGGCCGAUGUGAGGAAAACUAUGCAGAGUCAACCCACGGAAGGCUGCUGGACCAGACAUCAUCCCCGGUAAAGUGCUCAGAGGAUGUGCGGACCAGCUGGCAGACGUUCUCACUGACAUCUUCAACAUCUCCCUGAGCAACGCCAUCAUCCCAAAGUGCUUCAAGACCACUACCAUUGUCCCCAUACCGAAGAAGUCUUCAGUGUCCUACCUCAAUGACUACCAUCCUGUUGCACUCACACUCAUCAUUAUGAAGUGCUUCGAGAGGCUCGACAUGAGGCAUAUAAAGACCCUGCUGCCUCCCUCACUGGACCCCCUGCAGUUCGUGUAUUGCCAUAACUGCUCAACAGAUGAUGCCAUAGCCACCACCCUUCAUCUAGCCCUUAGCCACCUGGACAAGAAGGACACAUACAUAUGAAUGCUGUUCAUAGACUUCAGUUCAGCAUUCAACACAAUCAUCCCUCAGCAGCUAAUUGGAAAGCUGAGCCUGCUGGGCUUGAACACCUCCCUCUGCAACUGGAUCCUGGAUUUUCUGACUGAGAGGCCUCAGUCAGUCUGGCUUGGGAGCAGAACUUCCAGCACCACCAUGCUGAGUACUGGGGCCCCUCAGGGCUGUGUGCUCUGUUCACUCUGCUGACUCAUGACUGCAGCAAUUCACAGUUUGAACCACAUCAUCAAGUUUGCUGAUGACACAACAAUGGUGGAUCUCAUCAGUAAGAACGAUGAGUCAGCAUACAGAGAGGAGGUGCAACGGCUAUUGGACUGGUGCAGAGUCAACAACCUGUCUCUGAAUGUGGACAAAACAAAAGAGAUGGUUGUUGACUUCAGAAGAACACAGAGUGACCACUCUCCGCUGUACAUCGACGGCUCACUCACAGAGAACGUCAAGAGCACCAAGUUCCUUGGUGUUCAUCUGGCAGAAAACCUCACCUCUUCCCUCAACACCAGCUCCAUAGCCAAGAAAGCCCAGCAGCAUCUCUACUUCCUAUAGAGGCUGAGGAAACCCAUCUCCCAUCCUCACAAUAUUCUACAGAGGGACUAUGGAGAGCAUCCUGAGCAGCUGCAUCACGGUCUGGUUUGGGAAUUGCACCAUCUUGGAUCGCAAGACCCUACAGCUGAUAGUGAGGACAGUUGAGAAGACCAUUGGAGUCUCUCUUCCCUCCAUCAUGGACAUUUACACAACAUGCUGCAUCUGGAAAGCCACCAGCAUUGUGGUUGACCCCAUACACCCCUCACACAAUCUCUUUACCCUCCUGCCAUCUGGAAAAAGGUACCGAAGCAUUCGGGCCUUCACUGCCAGACUCUAACAGUUUCUUUCCACAUGCCAUCAGACUCCUCAACUCUGAGGGACUGGACUGAUACUCACUGACUGUUGAACACACCAUUCAUACUGCAGUCUUUGCAUAGUGGACAAUAAUGCACUAUUGCUUUACAAUGUUUACAAUGUCUCUCACACACAUACAAGGUUUACAUUUAUUUAUUCCCUUUUCAUAUACUACCUCAACAUGCACACUCUACUCUGCACCUUAUGUUGUUUGCGUCUGCACUUUCCUUUUGUUUGUGUUGUUUAUUGUCUGCAGUGUUGCACUUGUGUGUUGUACGUAGAUUGUAGUCCUGUGAUGUUUAAUGUAGCACCAUGGUCCUGGAGAAAUGUUUUGUUUUAACUGUGUACUAUACCAACUGUAUAUGGUUGAAAUGACAAAUAAAAGAACCUUAAUCUUAAAUUUGAAGAAAGCGUUUGAUACAAUUGAUCAUGAAAUUUUACUACAAAAAUUGGAAAGGUAUGGGAUUAGAGGGGUAGGGCUAAAUUGGUUAAAAAGCUACAAUGAAAAUAGACAGCAAUUUGUUCAGAUGGGUGCUAUUAAGUCUACUCUCUUAGACAUCACAUGUGGUGUACCACAAGGAUCAAUUCUUGGACCAAAAUUAUUUAUAUUGUAUAUCAAUAAAGUGCAAUAUCUCUCCUGCCG